rnacentral:rRNA from 1 species
GUCCACACCGUAAACGAUGGAUACUAGGUGUCGGGGACUUGAUCUUCGGUGCCGUAGCUAACGCGUUAAGUAUCCCGCCUGGGGAGUACGGUCGCAAGGCUGAAACUCAAAGAAAUUGACGGGGGCCCGCACAAGCGGUGGAGUAUGUGGUUUAAUUCGAUGCAACGCGAAGAACCUUACCUAGGCUUGACAUCCUGGGAAUCCUGCAGAGAUGCGGGAGUGCCCUUCGGGGAAUCCAGAGACAGGUGCUGCAUGGCUGUCGU